rnacentral:rRNA from 1 species
GACGAACGCUGGCGGCGUGCUUAACACAUGCAAGUCGAGCGGUAAGGCCCUUUCGGGGGUACACGAGCGGCGAACGGGUGAGUAACACGUGGGUGACCUGCCCUCAGCUCUGGGAUAAGCCUGGGAAACCGGGUCUAAUACCGGAUAUGACUCCAUGACGCAUGUUGUGGGGUGAAAGCCUUGUGCGGCUGAGGAUGGGCCCGCGGCCUAUCAGCUUGUUGGUGGGGUGAUGGCCUACCAAGGCGACGACGGUAGCCGGCCUGAGAGGGCGACCGGCCACACUGGGACUGAGACACGGCCCAGACUCC